rnacentral:lncRNA from 1 species
GUGGAUGGAGCAACCGCCUGGGUAUGCAUCCAGUCUGGUCUGGGUUGACACUACUGCGAUUCGCGGUUUAAGGUCCUGGGUUCGAUUCCUGGGGAGACCCCCGAAUUAGUCGGGAGCGCGAGAUUAUGGCUAGCUGCUGAAAUGUGGAGUUGAGGUCGCAGUUGAUGGACCAGAUUCGCACGCUAGAUUGGUGGCGAUUGCCGAACCCUCCGUCUCUUCGGGUGUUCGGGUGAAUGGAUGAGGAGGGGUCCUAGACGGCUGGACCCGCCGCCUUGGACUUACAGUUCGUAUGGCGAAGUAUAGUGUGGUAGUGGUGGACGGUGCUAUAAGAUGAUACAUCGUAGAACUGACAAUGUGAUAAAACGGCCCAGAAGCCCCCCACUCUGUAACAUUACAUUACAUUGCAUCCAGUGACCGGUCGCUUGCGUGCAAGCUGCAGAAGUCUAUUUACGGUUUAAAGCAGGCACCCCGUUGCUGGUAUGAAAAACUAUCAGCAGGGUUCGCCAAGUUGGGUCUUUAUCCUUCGAAGUCUGAUCCGGCGAUGUUUGUUAAGACGGACGAGCGUGGGGUUGUUAUUGCUUUGGUGCACGUAGAUGAUACAAUUGUUGCGUCGGAAGACCCGGAAAUGGUCCGGGCAAUUAAAACCGCAAUUGCGAAGGUCUUCAAGGUGCGCGACCUUGGAGAAGCGAAGGUGUUUUUGGGCAUGGAAAUUAGGAGGGAGAAGUCGGGUGAGAUAGUGUUGUCGCAGCAUAGGUAUAUUGCGCAGCUGUUGGAGCGUCAUAGGAUGAUUGACGCCAAGCCGAGGUCUACCCCUUUGCCUCCGGGCUUUAGGUACACUCCUAAGGGGGACGAAGAGGAGCUGCUGGGCAAUCCCACCGAGUAUAGGGCUUUGGUGGGAGAAUUGAACUAUCUGGCGACGAACACGCGGCCUGACAUUUCAUAUGCAUUGAGCGUUUUGUCCCGGCAUAUGGCCGCACCCACGAAGUGUGCCAUGAACCUGGCAACUGGCGUUCUGCGUUACCUGGCGGGGACUCGCGAACUAGGAUUGCGUUUUGGGGGUGUUGGCGACGUUGCUAUGUCCGGGUACAGUGAUUCUGACUGGGCAGGAGACCCAGUUACGCGGCGUUCUACGUCCGGUUACGUUUUCACUCUUAAUGGGGCUGCGAUUAGCUGGAGCAGCCAACUCAACGUACUGUGGCGGCUUCAUCGGUGGAGGCCGAGUAUCAAGCGACAGCGGCAGCUGUUCGUGAGGCUUUGUGGCUUCGCUUGUGGUUGAUUUGGGUUUGCCUGAGAGCGCUAUCAAGAUCCAAAUAGAUUCCCAAGGGGCGCUUAGCUUAGGAAAUAACCCGAUUACGUCUGCUCGGUCGAAGCACAUCGACGUGCAGCAUCACAUAGUGCGUGAAAGGGUGAAUAGCGGUGAGGUGCAGUUGGAGUACUGCCCUACGGAGUGGAUGGUUGCGGAUGUACUAACGAAGGCUCUGGGCGAGGUGAAGUUCAAACGUUGCCGAGAUGCUAUGGGCCUUGUCUGAAGUGUGCAGAUGAACUUGGUACUCGUUGGGAUACGGCCCGAGGGGGCGUGUUAAGGAAACGGUCCUCUCCCAACUCGUGUGGUUGUCGACCAGGGGAUUUGACCCCGGGUCUACGCCUGACUAAUGGGGAAGACUUACCCCAGAACCUUAUGGGGCUACCGAUGCAUAUCCGGUAGCUAAGUGAUAGACAUUAGGGCACCGUCUGGACGGCGCAGUGAGAUCGCGGAAUGUACGUGCAGUUAGAUCGCGGAAUGUACGAGUUUUCCGCUAGCGCCGGUAUUUAGGACGGUGACUGCGCCUAUUAGUUUAUCUCACAACGAUCGGUAUUCCUACUAGGAAUCUCCUCAAGUCCUGCCGAACGUUAACAAUACUCUUUACAUUACUUGUAACAGUUUAUCGUGCUAAAUAUCUUCGCCACCGGCAAUCCUUCCGAAAUAACAAUCAGCGUUAGCCGUCACCGUCGCCAAUUCUUCAAUACUAGUUCGCGUACGGCGUUAGAUCAUAAGGUUCAACCUGCCGUACUUCGCGUUAGUGAGGUGCGUCCCAGCGGCGUACUUGUUCUGCAAGGUCNNNNNNNNNNNNNNNNNNNNNNNNNNNNNNNNNNNNNNNNNNNNNNNNNNAGAUGGCUAACAGUACUUGGGAGCUGAAGACGCCACCUCCUGGUACUCGUUUGUUGCCGUGUCGUUGGGUAUAUAAGGUUAAGUACAGCGAUGACGGCAGUGUGGAGCGUUUUAAGGCGCGUUUAGUUGCCAAGGGUUUCGAGCAACGUGAGGAGAUUGAUUAUGGGGAGUUGUUUGCCCCUACCUCUCGUGGUUCGUCAUUGCGUGCUUUAUUAGCAGUUGCCGCAGCCCGGAACAUGACAGUACAUCAGCUCGAUGUGUCUACUGCGUUUCUGAAUGGUGAGCUGAAGGAGGAGUUGUGGAUGGAGCAACCGCCUGGGUAUGCAUCCAGUCUGGUCUGGGUUGACACUACUGCGAUUCGCGGUUUAAGGUCCUGGGUUCGAUUCCUGGGGAGACCCCCGAAUUAGUCGGGAGCGCGAGAUUAUGGCUAGCUGCUGAAAUGUGGAGUUGAGGUCGCAGUUGAUGGACCAGAUUCGCACGCUAGAUUGGUGGCGAUUGCCGAACCCUCCGUCUCUUCGGGUGUUCGGGUGAAUGGAUGAGGAGGGGUCCUAGACGGCUGGACCCGCCGCCUUGGACUUACAGUUCGUAUGGCGAAGUAUAGUGUGGUAGUGGUGGACGGUGCUAUAAGAUGAUACAUCGUAGAACUGACAAUGUGAUAAAACGGCCCAGAAGCCCCCCACUCUGUAACAUUACAUUACAUUGCAUCCAGUGA